rnacentral:rRNA from 1 species
AAAGAUUAAGCCAUGCAUGUGUAAGUACACACCUUCCUUUUGGCGAAACCGCAAACGGCUCAUUAAAUCAGUCAUAAUUUAUUGGAUGGUGCUGAUCCUUUACUCGGAUAACCGUGGCAAUUCUAGAGCUAAUACGUGCAACUGAGCUCCGACCUCGUGGCGCCUAACGGCGUUGCGAGGGAAGGGCGCAAUUAUUAGAAUCAUAAACCGAGCGGGCUCUCGAGUCCGUCCAAACAAUCGGCUAUGAUGACUCUGGAUAACUUUGCCGAGCGAUUAGGCCUUCGAGCCGUCGCUGCAUCUUUCGAGUGACUGCCUUAUCAGCUUUCGAUUGUAGGCUAUACGCUUACGAUGGCUGUAACGGGUAACGGGGAAUCAGGGUUCGAUUCCGGAGAGGGAGCCUGAGAAACGGCUACCACAUCUAAGGAAGGCAGCAGGCACGCAAAUUACCCACUCCCGGCACGGGGAGGUAGUGACGAUAAAUAACGAUGCGGGACUCUUCCGAGGCCUCGCAAUCGGAAUGAGUUCACUCUAAAACCUUGGACGAGGAUCCAUUGGAGGGCAAGUCUGGUGCCAGCAGCCGCGGUAAUUCCAGCUCCAAUAGCGUAUAUUAAAGCUGCUGCGGUUAAAAAGCUCGUAGUUGGCUGUUCGAUCUGUACCGGCGGCCCACCCAAGGCGCUAACCCCACAAAGAUUUCCUAUCGGUUAGGGAGUGACGUUCGGCGCAGUUCUUUUCGCUCGUUCCGACCCUCGCACGCACGCCGCGCUCGCUCGUUUCGGUGCCGGGGCUCGUUCCCCCAUCCGUGCGACGAUAACGUGGUGGUGGUGCUUGACGUCGGCGACGUUAUCCUACGUCCGAUUUCGUUAAACCCGCCGGGGACGUCUAGUGGCUAUUAAGCGCCCGGUGGUCAACCCGUUCGGAUACGGAUUUGUCAAAAUACGCCGGCUCUCACGGGGUGCUCUUUACCGAGUGUCUCGCGUGGCCGACGACGUUCACUUUGAAAAAAUUAGAGUGCUCAAAGCAGGCAUAAAUCUUCGCCUGAAUUAUGAUGCAUGGAAUGAUGGAAUAGGACCUCGGUUCUUUGUUUUUUCUCUCGGUUUUUCCCGGAACCCGAGGUAAUGAUUAACGGGGACGGACGGGGGCAUUAGUAUUGCGACGCUAGAGGUGAAAUUCUUGGACCGUCGCAAGACUAACUACUGCGAAAGCAUUUGCCAAGAACGCUCUCAUUAAUCAAGAACGAAAGUUAGAGGAUCGAAGGCGAUCAGAUACCGCCCUAGUUCUAACCUUAAACGAUGCUGACUAGCGAUCCGCUUAAGUCAUUCCCACGACUGAGCGGGCGGCCCCCGGGAAACCGAAGUUUUUGGGUUCCGGGGGAAGUAUGGUUGCAAAGCUGAAACUUAAAGGAAUUGACGGAAGGGCACCACCAGGAGUGGAGCCUGCGGCUUAAUUUGACUCAACACGGGAAACCUCACCAGGCCCAGACACCGGAAGGAUUGACAGAUUGAGAGCUCUUUCUCGAUUCGGUGGUUGGUGGUGCAUGGCCGUUCUUAGUUGGUGGAGCGAUCUGUCUGGUUGAUUCCGAUAACGAACGAGACUCUACCCUGCUAACUAGUGGAUGGAUCGUUUCCCGAGACGGGUCUCCUUCCGGGGCGGUUUCUCGCGCGGGGCUCUUUGGCGUUCCGCUCGUGCCUUAAUUCUACCUCUCACGCUCAAGAGGCGUCCGCGCUGGCGACGAUGUCGUUCUUUUUCCUUUCGAGGGGCGAGGGCGCUCGACGUCAGCGUUAGGACGCGUCCGGCGCGGGUCGCUAGGGCUUUGGUAUCGAUGAGCGUCAUUCCUCGCGUUCGCCGUUUUCCCGUGAAGGGCCCAACGAGGGGCGUCCAUCCUAACGUCUUCUUAGAGGGAUCGGCGGCGUCUAGCCGCACGAGAGAGAGCAAUAACAGGUCUGUGAUGCCCUUAGAUGUUCUGGGCCGCACGCGCGCUACAAUGCAGGGCGCAGCGUGCUCUCCCCCUCCGAAAGGAGUGGGUAACCCAAUGAAACCCCUUCCCGAUUGGGAUUGGGGCUUGCAAGUGUUUCCCAUGAACGAGGAAUUCCCAGUAAGCGUAAGUCAUUAGCUUGCGAUGAUUACGUCCCUGCCCUUUGUACACACCGCCCGUCGCUACUACCGAUUGAAUGAUUCAGUGAGGGCGUCGGACCAGCGCCCUCGGCAGCUUUCGGCUCGAUCGUUCCGUUCAAAGGCUUCUCUUUUCCCAUUCUUCUUCCCGUCCUUAACUUCGGUGCGGAGGGUCGGUCUAAGGGUUAAGAAAGUUUGGAACCGACCGAAAAGGCGCCCCGGGUACGCCGGGAAGACGUCCGAACUUGAUCAUUUAGAGGAAGUAAAAGUCGUAACAAGGUUGCCGUAGGUGAC